GAUCCUUGCUUGACUUGAGAGGUAUGAGGUUGGAACGGCUGUAGCCAUCUCCAUCUAUUGAGGGAACACGGGUUUGAGAACACAGUCAAGUCAGGACGAGAACAAGAGACGCUGGAUCUUGAGGACAGUGCUUGAGCCCUCGAAUCAAUCAAUGUCUAAGCUAAUGGAGGGUCGAUGAAGACAUUUGGCCAGAGGACCCUGAAACACCUGAAUCCCACCUUUGGCUGGCUAGCCCCAUUUCUCAGCAGUGCCUUCACAGGAGCGGUAAGUAGCACUUUAUUUUUAGAGAGAGCUUUGGUGAAAAACCAUAAUGCAAACUUGAGCAAGAGUGGACCUCAUGCUUCUUGCCUGUCAUGGUUCAAGCCCAAUUCUCAGGUAUUACCUGUUCGACUUUCUAGUUUCAUGUUCUCUGCCUCUGGCUGAUGUGUAUUGGCUCAGGUUUUUUGUGGUUUGGUUUUGAUUCUUGGUUUUCAACUAUAUCAGAGAAAAAAGCGAAAGUAUUUUGUCACCUUUGCCUAGAAUAUUUGCCGAAUGGUGGCUGCCCAAGUCCUUUCAAAUUGAGUGAAGAAAUCUGAGCCUGCUUCCAGGUGGGAGGAGGACUGUGUUUGGGUAGGAAUAUAUCCAUAGAACACAUGCAGAUGGAUAAGCCAGGUUCUGGUCUCCAUUCCAGGAGAAUGCCAUUUGGUUGAAUUUUGGCUACAGUGUACGGACAUAAAGAAUUUGGGUCAUUCUUAUACCCAACAGACCACAUCCAGGAAAUGUAUUCAAGAUGCUUUGAUCUCAUCUGAGGGGUGGCUAAGUACAACCCAUUCUUAAUAAAGCUAUUUAUAGUGAGAAGCAAUUUGGGUCAGGCCUGCCUUUCCAGUCUGCCUCAUUGGCAAAGUGGUAGGCCCCUGACUUCUGUCU
rnacentral:lncRNA from 10 species